AAAGAUUUAGAAACGUUAUUUUUUGACUCCAAAUUCGCUCAUAUGAAUCCUAGAUAGACUUUAUUUUUCAUUAUCAAAAUUAAAAAAGUUGAAAAAAAAUUUCACUCAGUUCUAAUCUGUUUCAAGUUCAAAAGUUCCACUUGUCGAACUUUUUUGGAAUGAAUUUUUUUUUGCACGAACAGUGCCCCCACUUUUUCAAAAAAAAUUAAAUAACUGAAAUGUCACCCGUAUUCGUAGUUUACAUAUAUUUUAUUUCAUUUAAAAAUAUAAGCUAAAGCUUUCUUGAGAUAUGUCUUCCUAAAUUUAAAAAACUAAACGACAGUAAAUAAAAUUUGAAAAAUAUAUAAUAGAUUAAAGUUAACGGCUUUUAUAUUUUGAAUUGUGUGCAAUCAUAAAAAAUAUUAUUUUUUUUUUGUGCCAUAAAUUGUAAAGCCGUAGUUUCAGUACUAUACGUAAAAUUGGUUAAUUAAGUAAUUUUAUAAAGUAAUAACAAGAUGAUUAGUAUGAUAAAUAAUAAUUUAAAAUCUAGAGAAAUUUUCUAUAGAAUCCUCAAGAGAAAUAGUUGCUGUUAAAAUUAAAAUUAAAGCUAAUUAUUUAAAUAAUUAUUUUUAGUAAUUAAAUAUUUUUUUUAUUUUUUGUAAAAACAAAUUGCUUCACUUUUCUACUAUAAAAUAAUUUUAAAAGGGUUCUAUAGUUGCGUCAUUAAAAUUACACUGGAAUAAUUAUGAAUUUAAGCAUUUGAUAUAUUCGACAAAAAAAAUUUAAUUAUUUUAAAUUUUUAAUUAUUCAAAUCUACUAUUCGCGUUUGAAAAAAUUUUAAAUAAUAUAAAUAUGGUAUAAUACCUGACCUAAUUGACAUAUCGAAUUUCUAUAGUCGUAACUUUCUGGAAAAAUUGAUAGCAAAUUAAAAAAUAAAAAAUAUUAUUUUGAAAUUGAUGCCUCGGAGGAUUAAUAAUUUAUAUUUAAUAAUAAAUAAAAAAAAAAAAAUCGAUUCCAUGAAUUGAAUAAUAAAAAUAAUAUAUAAUUUAAAAUUUGAGUCCGAUAUGACAAUAUUGUUUAUGCAGUGAAUGCCAUAAGAAAAUAAGUGAAUAAUUUUUACAGUGCUCAUUACAACGAGCUAUUUAAAAUAAUAAAAUAAAUAUUUUAAAAAAGAAAUAAUUAAAGUCCUCAUGUGACAGAGGAUUUAAUAUUUAGUCACUAAUAUUUAAGUAACUGGACAGUAAAAAUAAAUAAUAAUUAAAAUUAAAAAAAAACGACAGCUCGUUUUGUGCUUGAUAAUUUAUAUUUUUCGAAAAAGAAAAAUAUUAGCUGGGCUGUAUAAAAAUAAAUGAAAUUUUUCAGCAAAGGGUUAAUGAGUUAAAAAAAAGUUAUUAUUAUAUUAAGGAAGAAAGGACGAAAUAAAUAAUAAAUCUUAAUAAAUGCGAUGUCUGUAUGUGUGUUGUGUGUAGAUACGUUGCCGUAACCGCGCUUACUAAUAUUAAUAACUAAUAAUUAAUAUUGAUAAUAAAAAAAGAGUAAAAGCAAUUGCUCUUAUAUGUAAUAAUCUUAAAUAUUAAUCGUUAUGAAAAAACAAAGAGAAUAAAAAUAAGAAGAUGAUAAUUAAAAUAAAAAAACGUUUUAAAAUUAUUAAAUUACUAUGUCACGUAAUUUUUAAAUUUAUCCGUGUCUGUAAAUAUUAUGUUUUUAUAUAUAUACAUUAUUAUGAUUAUUAUUAUUAUAAUUACAAAAGCAACUUAUUAAUCAAUGAUGAUAUAUAUAUGUAUAUAUAUCAUCAUAAUUUAUUAAUUAAGUACGUAAAGUAAAAUUUGGGUCAUAUUUUACUGUUAGCAUAAUAUGCAGCGAAUGUCAUCAAUAAAAACAAUAAUUAUUAACCCAAUUUUUGCAUUCUUUUAUUUAUUAGAGUAAAAAAUUAGUAUAUUAUAUACCUAGGUCAGUAAAGAAAAGUCUCAGAUUAUAUGUAAUUGUUGUCUAGGCUUUCUUUUUUACUGGCCAAGGUGCGUAUACUAUUUUUCUGUUCGACGGAGCCGGAAAGUUGUCACUUUCCGGCCGGAGGGCAGAAAAAAUUAUUAAUUUUCAUCAUACCGGCGUCGAAUGUUUAUAUUCCUGCCCUGUUUAGAGGAAAGAAAGUUUUUCUUAUCUUUAGUCUGAAAACUUCUGUUUUUUUGUAACUCUCCUGUUAUUAUUUUUUUGUUAUUAGUAAGAAAAAUUUAUUGUUAACGUAAGAUGACAAUUUAAUUUAAAGGAAAUUACUUUAUUGUGAUUAUUCGCUCUUUAAAUUUUCAUAUAUUUAUAUACUGUGAGGUAAAUAUAUAUGAAUUUUAUUGAGCUGUUAUGAUUAAUUUUUUUUGCUAAAGGAAAUUAUUGUUAUGUCGCCAACAAAAAAAAAAGUUGAUUGACAUGUUUUAAGGUAUGGAAAAAAUUUACUCAUUCUGACUCUCGCUUCCGUAAGAUCAAGACGUUAUAUUUAAUCUUGAUAAAUUAUAUAGCGAUUGCGGCAAAAAAUUGAUAAAUAUUUUCAAUCUUCCAAGUAAACUGACAGUGAUUAAUUAUAAAUAAAAUUAAUUUUUAAUCAACAAAAAAAUUUUAAAAAAUGGCACGUCCUGUGUACGUAAAAACUUCAGAAACUAAAAAAAAAUUUGAGGAUCUUA